CAACAACAGAGACAUCCUGAGGUCACCUUCACUUCCCCUUCAGAGGUUGAGGCUUACCCAGCCUUACCUUCUGCAGCUGAGCCAGAGGCCAUGGAUGAGACUGCAGCUUCCCCUAAGGAGAUAGAGCCUAUCCCUACAGAAUGGGAAUCUGAAGCUGAACCCCUGGAGGCCCUUCCGAUCACCCUUCCGUCUCCACCACGGCUGAAAGUCUCAGCUCAACAUCCGGAAAUGACUGUGGGUUCCAAAACCCAACCCCAAGUGUAUUACCUGACUCCACCUCCUGCUACAGAGGCUGUCCUUUCUUCGGAGCCCCUAACCCAACCUCCAGAGCCACUUCAAGAAUCUGU